UUUUUGGAGGAAAAUUUUGGGGAAUUUUUGGGGAAUUUUUGGGGGAAAUUUGGGGAAUUUUUGGGUCCUCCCAGCUCAUCCCAAAGGGAGUCACAGCUGGGAGGGGGAAAAAAAAUCCCAAAAUUAAAAUUUGGUACAGUCCAAAAUAGGGGGGGGAAACCUCAAAAAUUACUGGAAAAAUCUCAAAUUUUUGGGGA
rnacentral:lncRNA from 1 species